rnacentral:rRNA from 1 species
CAGUCGCCGCGGGAACACGAGGGGUGCAAGCGUUACUCGGAAUUACUGGGCGUAAAGCGUGCGUAGGUGGUGGUUUAAGUCCGUUGUGAAAGCCCUGGGCUCAACCUGGGAAUUGCAGUGGAUACUGGGUCACUAGAGUGUGGUAGAGGAUAGUGGAAUUUCCGGUGUAGCAGUGAAAUGCGUAGAGAUCGGAAGGAACAUCUGUGGCGAAGGCGACUAUCUGGGCCAACACUGACACUGAGGCACGAAAGCGUGGGGAGCAAACAGGAUUAGAUACCCCCGUAGUCCCUGUCUCUUAUAC